CCUGCACAACACAACACACUGCUACACAACACCAUAGUAACGGUUCUAUAGGGGUCGGUGCUAGGGGAGGUUCUAAAGGUUCUAGAGGUGCUAGCGUCGCGGUACUAGAGGAGGUUCUAAAGGUUCUAGAGGAGGUUCUGAAGGUUCUAGAGGAGGUUCUAGAGGUGCUAGCGUCGCGGUACUAGAGGAGGUUCUAAAGGUUCUAGAGGUGCUAGCGUCGCGGUACCGUCCAUCUGCACCAGCAGCUCGGCCUUGACGCGGCGGCUGGCCUCGUGCUCCUCAGACGUCCCGCGGCGGCUGCACAUGGAGUCGAUCUCGUCGAUGAAGAUGGUGGUGGGG